AAUUUAAUAAAAUUAAAAAAAAUUAUAAUUUUAAUCUCCAUAGAAAACUUAAUCAAAUAAACUAAUUUUGUUUAAAUAAACUUAAUUUAAGCUAAAACUAAAUAAAAUUAAAAACAAACAAAAACCCUAAAGUUAAACCAUUUCCCCUUCCCAUUUGUCUUCUUCUUCUUCUUUGGAUUUGUUGGCUGGAGCCUCAGCCCCGACUCCUCCAGAUCCUAGCCUGCCAGAUGUCGACUCCUCCAGAUCCUAGCCCGCCAGAUCCUUACCUAACUUUGCUGAUCCCAACCUAGAUUUGGGUCCCAUUUCCUCUGCCAGACCUUGCGUCGUUGCCACAAGCUCAUCCACAAACCCGCCCUUAAAUGUUUGCUUGAGUGUCGAUCGUAACCCAUACCUGGGUCCCGUUUCCCUUGCUAGACCUUGCGUCCCCAUCCCUGCAACACAUAUACAAAGAAGAGAAAGAACGAAGGAGAGAGAGUGAAGCAAAGAUCUGGUUUGCUUUGUGAAUUUUGAGUGAUAAACAAAGAAAGAGAUGAGAGGCUGGGACUAGAGACAGUACAAGCAUGGGUCGAGUUUCUUGUUGGUGUUGGUGGCUCUGAGAAUUUCAGAUUGUUCUUGGAGACUAUAUGCAUUUGAUUUUUCUAUUCUGUAGUUUUGCAUUUGUUUAAUUUGAUUGAGUUUUGUUUUUUUUUUACUUUGUUUAAUUUUUGUUUUAGAUUUUUAGAUAAAAUAGUUUUAGUUUUUUUUAAUUAAUUAAAAAUAUUUACGUUUUUCUAUAUAAUUUGUUUUAUUUUAAAUUAAA